UUUCGUAGCUAGCCAUUGUCCCUUUGCGGUCAAUGUGCAUUUGGCUACAGGCCCUUUUUUUCUGCUAGGAGAUGCGGCUCUCUGCUGUCAGCGGGGCUGCAGUUUUCCUAGCACUUUUACUUUGAAAAAAUUAGAGUGUUCAAAGCAGGCUUUUUCUUUGCCUGAAUAUCUUAGCAUGGAAUAAUAGAAUAGGACUUUGGUUCUAUUUUGUUGGUUUCUAGGACUAGAGUAAUGAUUAAUAGGGAUAGUUGGGGGCAUUAGUAUUUAAUUGUCAGAGGUGAAAUUCUUGGAUUUAGGAAAGACUAACUUCUGCGAAAGCAUUUGCCAAGGAUGUUUUCAUUAAUCAAGAACGAAAGUUAAGGGAUCGAAGAUGAUUAGAUACCAUCGUAGUCUUAACCAUAAACGAUGCCGACCAGGGAUCGGGCGCUUGUAGUUUUUCCAAAAAGACACGCCCGGCACCUUUUGAGAAAUCAAAGUUUUUGGGU
rnacentral:ncRNA from 1 species